CAGUCGCCGCGGUAAUACGUAGGUCCCGAGCGUUGUCCGGAUUUAUUGGGCGUAAAGCGAGCGCAGGCGGUUAGAUAAGUCUGAAGUUAAAGGCUGUGGCUUAACCAUAGUACGCUUUGGAAACUGUUUAACUUGAGUGCAAGAGGGGAGAGUGGAAUUCCAUGUGUAGCGGUGAAAUGCGUAGAUAUAUGGAGGAACAUCGGUGGCGAAAGCGGCUCUCUGGCUUGUAACUGACGCUGAGGCUCGAAAGCGAGGGGAGCAAACAGGAUUAGAUACCCGUGUAGUCCCUGUCUCUUAUACA
rnacentral:rRNA from 1 species